UACGAAGGGGGCUAGCGUUGUUCGGAUUUACUGGGCGUAAAGCGCACGUAGGCGGAUCUUUUAAGUCAGAGGUGAAAUCCCAAGGCUCAACCUUGGAACUGCCUUUGAUACUGAAGAUCUUGAGUUCGGGAGAGGUGAGUGGAACUGCGAGUGUAGAGGUGAAAUUCGUAGAUAUUCGCAAGAACACCAGUGGCGAAGGCGGCUCACUGGCC
rnacentral:rRNA from 1 species